rnacentral:tRNA from 1 species
UGGCUCAGUUGGUAGAGCAUAGUGUUUGCAAUGCUAGGGUUGUGGGUUCGAUUCCCAC